UGCUCCAGCGAUACUACCAGAUUGUGCUUUU
rnacentral:piRNA from 1 species